UUACUGGAGAGUUUGAUCCUGGCUCAGGACGAACGCUGGCGGCGUGCCUAAUACAUGCAAGUCGAGCGGACUUGAGGGAGCUUGCUCCCGAUGGUCAGCGGCGGACGGGUGAGUAACACGUGGGCAACCU
rfam:Bacillus sp. SA2-6 scf7180000001099, whole genome shotgun sequence.